CUGUUAUGUGUUACAACACAACCAGAACCAUACAGCAACACCUAUAGAAACCGAUCAAGACCCGACUAAGCUUUAAUAAAUUACUGAUUUGCCGAAUCAGUCGUUUGCGUUGUUUGAACAUCGCUAACUAGCUUGCUAACGUUAGUUCGCCUGAACUGCUCAUUGGAUGGAUAGAGAGCUAUUCGUUGUCGAGUCUAUUGUGACUAACUUGUAUUUUCCUAUAUUGGCCGUGUGUAUUUGACAGCUAAUCUGGAAAGUGAUAUAAUAUUGUGUGGUUGUAGUACGAAUAUUCAUUUCAUAACAAGUUGCUAAUUUCUGUGAAAUCGUGGCUGCUACAGGGUCCUGACUAGUUACCACAGCCACAAAGUUAUGGCUAAACCCCACAUAGUUCUACAGUUUAUGUUCCUAACCGUAACCCUAAUUUAACAACACUGCUAACCUUAAUUAUAGCCCUAAUCUUAAAUUAAGGAACAAUGUCAGCAUUGCUGGUUUGGCAAAAAAGGUAGGUGUAUAAAACAGUAUCUUGCAGGAUUCAACCGUUGGAAUUGUAAGAGUUGUUGCCCUGUCCCUGUGGACUUUCGAUCACCAUAAAGACAAUGCACAAUACAGUAAUUGAUUGACUACAUUGACACAUCAACUGUUUUGUGAUGUGAUGAUGUGGAUCAGUUGGUAGUAGAGAAUUAUGCUUUUAACUCUAGGCUUGUGGGUUCAAUUCCCACGGGGGACCAGUAUGAAAUGCAUGCCCUCACUACUGUAAAUUGCUUUGGAUAAGGGUGUCUACUAAAUUGUAAAACGACUGAUAGAAAUAAGUUGCAUUUGCAAAGUAUUUCAAGAAACUGGAAAAUAAAUAUCAAGCAAGUAUUUAUAUAUUCCACAAGUAUUAACUGUUUUGCACAGAUAAUUAACAGACUGAAGUUACACAUGCUGGUAAACACUCAAAUACAUUUAGUUAACCUUUUUUCACAAAAGUAGUGCAUUAGUCCCGUGUUCGUCCUGCAGCACCCCCACCCCCAAACUACUUCCCGAAGCUAUGUUGACUAAACGUGUUCUUUCUCUUCAGGCUACCCUCUAUAACAUGAUGCAGUUUUGCUUGUGUAUAAUAAUCUAUUUUCGAAAAAGAGUCCAUUGUUUUAUUGUAGUAUGGUUAUGUUAACAUUGUAAACUGAAUGAAAAACACUGCUAGUCUAGACAUGUAUUGUAGGGAUAGUUUAUUGGAGGAUCACAAUUCAACAUGUCAACAACCAUACUUGACAACAUGAAUUCAGAUCAUUAUCAUCUAUCCACUAAUUUAAGCAAUCAUCUGUCUUGUAUCUGGAUGGAUGGAUAGAUGGAGGGAGAGAGGGAUGGAAAUGUAGCAUAUGUAGCAGCCUUCUUUAACAUAUGCUUGGGAGAUAAAUCUGUCACAUGACCUUCAUCUCCAAGGAAGCAGAUUAGCAAGAACUAAUCUGAUUUCACAAAUGCAUGUCUAGACUGAGCUCCCAGCAGACUGUGGCUCCUGCCAAGCUCCAGGAUAUCGAAGGAGAGGGGAUGUAGUGUGGAGAGAUGGAGCUCAUUAACUUCUUCAGGAUUGGUGGGACGGUUGAGCUAACAUAGGCUAAUGCGAUUAGCAUGAGGUUACCCUUCUCUAUUGGCCACGAGAGACUGAGGGGAUGAGAAGAGAAACUGAUUCGUGGAUAUGCAACUGGAGAGGUCUUCUAUGACUCUAGCCAAGAUUCCCCCUGUCUACAGGAGUCUGAUCAUUUGUGGACACAGCCACUCUACUCGGUGGAAGGGGACAUAUGUCUGAAGGUGGUAGAGAAUGGAAAACAUAAAUUUAACUUGGCAAGUCAGUUAAGAACAAAUUCUUAUUUACAAUGACGGCCUACUCCGGCCAAAUCCAGACAGCGCUGGGCCAAUUGUGCACCACCCUAUGGGACUCCCAAUCACAACUGGAUGUGAUACAGCCGGGAUUCAAACCAGGGACUGUAGUGACACCCCUUGCACUGCGAUGCAGUGCCUUAGACCCCUGCACCACUCAGGAGCUUGUGCGUAUCCACAAGGCACCGACAUUUCUGCUCCCAGCUCGGAUCCCCCACUCCCCCCAGAGACUGGAUAACACUGUGGGGCUGGUGUUGGAGAGAAGGAGGCUUCAUUCAAAGACUUAAGGUUUAAGGUACCACCAUCCACCAUGCCUUCUUCUUACACACAUCUCACACCUCACAUCCCCUUGACCCCCCUACGAGAGAGAGAGAGAGAGAAAGAAAGAGAGAGAGAGAAAGAAAGAAAUCAUGCCUCUGUGGUUUCAGGUAAUGUGUGGAUGACACUACAGACAUUUUGAGAGGGUUUUACUGUGAAAACCUGAGGACCCAGUUGGUGCCAGUGAUUCAAAAGUGAGACGCAUGUCAUUGAGUUUAGUCCGGCAUUAAACAGAACACUUUUUUUGUGAACAUUAGUGCUCGGCAGGGAAUACUCAGCGGAUGCUGUGGUCCUCAGUUUUUUUUGCGUCGGAGCAGCACAGAACAGGCAAGUUAAACCCAGGUGACUCCCCCUCUCACAAAGAGACAAUGGGAAAGGUGGGCUUCAGUAGGUGUUGCACACUACUUUUAUGUUUUGUGUGGUUUUACAUCGGGUUUGUGGAUAUUUUGCUGUGCAAGUGUGUCCCACGACACGAGAACCCUGUUGGCCAAUGUGCUAUCAUUUUCUGUCUGUCUAGACUUCAGACAGCCUCAGAACACCUUGCAUGUGAUGACCCCCUUCCACUUCAGAGACUGAGUGGAAAAACAGCGUCCCUCCCUGGCCAGCUGACACCCCAUCUGCAUGUUCAGGGCCCAGUUUGAGACAGAGGUGACCCUGGAAUAUCUGGAAUGAUGACUUUUUCAGUUUUUUAUUUGUUAAAAGAGUUUGAAAUAUCCAAUAAAUGUCGUUCCACUUCA